rnacentral:rRNA from 1 species
UGGGGAAUAUUGCACAAUGGGCGCAAGCCUGAUGCAGCCAUGCCGCGUGUAUGAAGAAGGCCUUCGGGUUGUAAACUACUUUCAGCGGGGAGGAAGGCGAUAAGGUUAAUAACCUUGUCGAUUGACGUUACCCGCAGAAGAAGCACCGGCUAACUCCGUGCCAGCAGCCGCGGUAAUACGGAGGGUGCAAGCGUUAAUCGGAAUUACUGGGCGUAAAGCGCACGCAGGCGGUCUGUCAAGUCGGAUGUGAAAUCCCCGGGCUCAACCUGGGAACUGCAUUCGAAACUGGCAGGCUAGAGUCUUGUAGAGGGGGGUAGAAUUCCAGGUGUAGCGGUGAAAUGCGUAGAGAUCUGGAGGAAUACCUGUGGCGAAGGCGGCCCCCUGGACAAAGACUGACGCUCAGGUGCGAAAGCGUGGGGAGCAAACA